UGGAGAUCCUUUCCUUGAGAGAGGGCAGCGUCGUGGUGACGUACGAUGUGCUCCUUCGGGUCGCGGCGGGGACUGACGCCCCCACCGUCGUGGAGGACCUCGUGGAGGACCUCCUGGCGGCCACCGUCGCCAAUUGCAGCCAAUGCAGCGCGGUCACGUGUGACAUAUGUUUCAACACGUCCCACACCUCUGUAACCAACUACACCGUUCAGCCCCUGGAUGCAGCUGCAGCGACUCGGCGUCGUUUUGGUACGUGGACGCGUCGUGCAGUUCCCGGCUGAGCAAAAUGGGGUUGGCUCUCGGGCUCCCCCUGGCGGUCAUCGGCGUCGGUGCAGCGGGCUGCGGGGUGGCGCUGCUGCGGACCCGGAGGCAGCGCAGGGCGGACAGGGAGAAGCUGCGCUCGCACUCAGCGCUGUACAGCGGCAAUGAGGAGGAGGAGACGUGGGGGGGCAGCGCCGGAUUCGCAGCCACCACAGAGCGGCGUCGUGGGAAG
rnacentral:lncRNA from 1 species